rnacentral:rRNA from 1 species
UGGCUCAGGACGAACGCUGGCGGCGUGCCUAACACAUGCAAGUCGAGCGGAGAUGAUGUGAGGAAGUUUUCGGAUGGAAUCACAUUAUUUAGCGGCGGACGGGUGAGUAACGCGUGAGCGACCAACCUUGCACAGGGGGAUAACGGACCGAAAGGUUCACUAAUACCGCAUGAGACCACAGUGUUGCAUGACACAGGGGGUCAAAGGAGCAAUCCGGUGCAAGACGGGCUCGCGUCCGAUUAGGUAGUUGGUGGGGUAACGGCCCACCAAGCCUAUGAUCGGUAGCCGACCUGAGAGGGUGAUCGGCCACAUUGGAACUGAGAUACGGUCCAAACUCCUACGGGAGGCAGCAGUGGGGAAUAUUGGGCAAUGGGGGGAAAAACCCCCUGACCCAGCAACGCCGCGUGAAGGAAGAAGGUUUUCGGAUUGUAAACUUCUGUCCUUGGUGAAGAGAAGAAGACGGUAGCCAAGGAGGAAGCCCCGGCUAACUACGUGCCAGCCGCAGC